rnacentral:rRNA from 1 species
CAGCCGCCGCGGUAAUACCGGCGGCCCGAGUGGCGGCCACUCUUAUUGGGCUUAAAGCGUCCGUAGCCGGGUUGGGAAGUCCUCCGGGAAAUCUGGCCGCUUAACGGUCAGAAUGCCGGAGGAUACUCCCAGCCUAGGGAGCGGGAGAGGCCGAGGGUAUUCCCGGAGUAGGGGUGAAAUCCUAUAAUCCCGGGAGGACCACCUGUGGCGAAGGCGCUCGGCUGGAACGCGUCCGACGGUGAGGGACGAAGGCCAGGGGAGCAAACCGGAUUAGAUACCCGGGUAGUCCUGGCUGUAAACGAUGCGGACUUUGUGUCGGACAAGCUAUGAGCUUGUCCGGUGCCGGAGGGAAACCGUUAAGUCCGCCGCCUGGGGAGUACGGCCGCAAGGCUGAAACUUAAAGGAAUUGGCGGG